AUGCACGCUGGCGGCGUGCCUAACACCUGCAAGUCGCACGGAGUCCAGCCUUUAAGACCUUCGGGUCAAAGAGGGGAAGACUGAGUGGCGGACGGGUGAGUAACACGUGGGCAACCUGGCUCAUAGAGGGGGAUAACAGAGAGAAAUUUCUGCUAAUACCGCAUAAGCACACACUGCCGCAUGGCAGAGGGUGAAAAGAGAAUCGCUAUGAGAUGGACCCGCGUCUGAUUAGACAGUUGGCAGGGUAAGAGCCUACCAAAGCGACGAGCAGUAGCCGAUCUGAGAGGAUGAACGGCUACAUUGGGACUGCGACACGGCCCAAACUCCUACGGGAGGCAGCAGUGGGGGAUAUUGCACAAUGGGGGGAACCCUGAUGCAGCGACGCCGCGUGAGUGAAGAAGUAGUUCGGUAUGUAAAGCUCUAUCAGCAGGGAAGAUAAUGACAGUACCUGAAUAAGAAGCCCCGGCUAACUACGUG
rnacentral:rRNA from 1 species